CUUAAUUUGACUCAACACGGGAAAUCUUACCGGGUCCGGACAUACCGAGGAUUGACAGACUGUUAACUGCAACACAUGCUGCUAAGUUUUAAACUUAAUAGCUCUUUCAUGAUUAUAUGAUAGGUGGUGCAUGGCCGUUCUUAGUUCGUGGAGUGAUCUGUCUGCUUAAUUGCGUUUCAAAAUCUAAACCUGAGCGACAAGGUGCUGCUAUCGAAACUGUCUUUGAGUGUGAACUAUAAGUCUUUUGACUUAUGACCAUCACUCUAGACGUUUAUGUUUUGGUGUUGGCCCUUGAUGCUCAUUUGAACGCAACGGACGUGAUUGCAACCCCUUGUUGAGAUUUAUCCGAUCUCUACGUUCACUGAACCACACUCUUUAGCGAGAGCAGUGGGGAUGUGGAUAAACUCGGGGGACUGCUGACUAUAAACUUUUCUCAAACCAGAGGAAGGUUGCGGCAAUAACAGGUCUGUGAUGCA
rnacentral:rRNA from 1 species